rnacentral:lncRNA from 1 species
GCUCAUAUAAAGACACCUCGAAUAAUUAUACUAAGACACAUUUAUUUAUCAAUCUUCUGUUUUAUUAUUUUAUGUUUUUCGUCACUUUGUUUUUGCGAUUGUUCUGUGUUGUGAAAAAACAAAACAAAAAAAAUAUACAUUGUUGUUGAUUAACUACUAUACUUUCAUUAUAUAACACCCUGGAAAGGAUUUGUGCAUAACAUAAUUAAUAACGUAUGUGAAUAAUAAAAUUUACAAAAAAAAAAUAUCUACAUUACAUAAUAUUUGUUACUCAUUGAUGUCCUCGAAUCAACGUAUAAAACCAAACCAAAAGCUAAUCCAUAUAACUAUACAAAUAGGUUUACAAAGGGAAAAUAAUUGAAAGAUCUUUAUAAAAGGGUAAUUAAUUAAGCAAUUUACAAGUUGCAUGAAACUCAAAAGUUGAUUCAUUUUAUAAUCUAUAAUUUAUUGAACUUGUUCAUUUGAAAUUUGCAAAACUAUAUGAGAUAACUCAAUGAGUGGUAAAAUAACUAUAUCAACACUUGAGAAGGUAAAGACAAAAAUGUAAAUGGAAGAAUAUUAAAAACAUGAAAGUAAUUGUAGAAUGCAAACUAAAGAUAAGAGAAAUGUAACAAAAACAAUGAAUUAAAAUUGUUAGAAAGUCUAGUUUGCCGUAGAUCAUCUAGUCUGCAAUUACUGGUUAGAUGUCUAAUAGAAGAUGGUUCAUCAUAACUAUCCGGAAAAAAAAUUAUUAAUAAAAGAAUGUAACUGAAAACAAAUUAAUAAGAA